UGGGAACAGAGCCCGGUGGCCAGGCUGGGGCUCCUGGGUGCUGUCACCCUCCAGGUGACUCAGGGAGCAGGAUGAACACCAGCUGGGGGGGCACAGGAUCCCGGCCUCACUCCCAGCCUGCUUCCACCCGCUAUGGCAAGCUGUAAAACAUCCCCGUCCUUCGGUGCCUGCCAGAGGCACACAAGUUCCCUGUCCCCAUUGGGCCACCCCAGCAAGAUCCCCCAGAUGCUGCCGAUUGGGGCUGCUCCGAUUUGGGGUGCAGGGGGGCCAUGGGACAGCGACACGGUCACUUUCUGAGAGCAAAAUGCUGCUAAGUGCUUGCCACAGGCCCUAUGCCCAUGGACAGCUCAACCCCCUGGGAAAAAGCCAUCCCCAAAAUUCCUGGCCCGGGCCAUUUCUGCCAGAGCUUUCCCGACACCAGAGGGCUGCAAUAGGUGGAAGUGAUUGACUCACUAUGAGACUGCUGUUUUUGCCUCCGACUUGGGAUCAGGCAGAGCUACAGGAGCGGGGGAGCCGUGGCGCUGCCGCCCUGGGAGCAGGCACUUACCUCUCA